GGUGGUUCUCAGGUGAUGCACCCUGGAAUCGGGCUCCCUCCUCUCUGGUUCCGAGGUGCGUUACCCGAGAACUGCA
rfam:Myotis lucifugus cont2.16795, whole genome shotgun sequence.